GAAAUCUUCAAAGUAAACCUUUUGUUAAUUCAAUCGGUCUCUUACUUUGGUUUUGGAGGUCUUUGCAGUUUCACACCCUGCUCCUCUUUGUUUAUUAGCUGGAUCUCUAAGUGUUACGCUUGGUUCCACUCGGCGUGAUAAGUUAUCUAUCGCUGAGGACACUGUAAAAAGGUGGCCAAGGUAAAUGCAAGACGAACCGCUUCUAAUAGUCCAUUGACUUGGACAAAAUACAUUUUUAUGAUCUGAUCUCAAAUCAGGUAGGACUACCCGCUGAACUUAA
rnacentral:misc_RNA from 1 species